UAAAGUUAUUUUAUUUAAAAAAUAUAUAUAUUACCCACUACUGCUUGGUAGGCAACAAUGAAUCUGACUGAAUUACGUAUACGUGGUUUUUGGUAUGUUUUCAGGAAUUAUAAAAAGAUUUUUUUAUUUCGUCGCAUUGCGUAUGUUCUGCAAAAUGUUCUGUCCCUCACUUCGCACGCCUGUGGCAACUCCAUAGUAUAUUUGUUUUGAGUUUACGCUUGAUAAUCAAUGUCAAGUAAGUGACAAUUCAAAGUUUGACAGUGCAUUUCAAUAACAAAUAUACUCAGGCAUUUCAUUUGAAAUUGAUACAGUAUUUAGGUAAUGCAGGCGUUAUAUCUGACCGCCUGACAAAAACAGAGACCACAUGAAACAUGAUGAAAUAAAUAAAUAAUAUCAAAUAAAGAAAGCAGUAGAACUUGUACAUGCAAUGUUAUCCUAACACUUACUUAGUUCUACUGUGUUAUGUCUUUCUAGAAUGGAUUGUUGUUCAGUACAUCUAUGCGAAAAAGUUGAGCUACAAUAUGUAAACCAAAUUAGAAAAGAUAUAAAACAACAAGAAAAACGUCGUAAUAAGGAAGAACAGCAGUUCCAAAAAGAAUUGAAAAAACUAAAAAACAAACGAAAGAGGCAACUAUCUGCUAUUAAGAAAGCCGUUAAUAAAUUGGAGCCUAAAGACAGGAGGAAAUUUCGUGUUUUUCGUACUCCAUCGAAAGUUAUAAUUGCGAGAAAAUGCGUCUGCAAAAAACGAAUGUUAAAAAAACUCCGCCCAUGUUGCUGUCUUGUUGUCAUUGCACUCGCCGCCUUUUUGGCUAUAGCGCUCCCAUUUGGCCCUUGAGUACAAUUAAUAGAAUCGUGAUGGACUCAACUUAUACAACAACCGUCAUUGUCGCGAUUCGUUCUUCUCCCUCAAAUCUAAAUUGAAUUUCAAGAAGCAUAAAACUAUUAUAAUGAGAUAAAUGUGUAUUUGUGUAAUAAUGUCCUAUAAUAUGUAUUUAUUAUUUUAAUUUUUUUAUAAAUGUAAAAUGUAAAAUUCAUUUUUUAUAAAUGCCAUCUGAUUCAUUCAGUAAGAAUGCGAUCAAAGACGGAUUCCCUCUUUGAUCGCAUUCUACUGAAUGCGCCAGUAUGGUACGCCCCAGUAGCAGAUAUAUCGUGGAGGCCAGGUAUUCCCAAAUGUCUUAACAAAGCGACUAUUAUAAAGUUUAAAAUGCAUUUACAGUGACGGCACCUCAACCGCUCCGAUACUUUAAUGGUCAUUUUUUAAUUAUAUUUUAUCUGUGACACUUAGAGACCUUUACAUCUCUAAGGAAAUUUACUAUUUGUUGUUUGUAUUUUUUAUCAAUUUUUUUUAUGUAAUUCGAUAAUUAGAGACUGUAUACAUCUCGAAUAAAGUAUCUAAUAUUUAAUUAUACCA